GAUAGCAAUUUCAACAAAAGAAUCCCAAUGUUGCACUACAGUGGACAAAACAAAACAAAACAAAAAUGUGUUUUACAUUUAAGACACUGAAAUUUCUUGAAUGCUCAAUAUUUUACAUGCAAAUUAACAACAAGCUUUAGCUCAAAAUCAGUUGACUCUAUCAUGGAUUAAUGAAACAGUGCAUGCAGAACACAUUUUUGGAAUGACAAACAAGUGUCUUUUGGGUGAAACCUGUGCUCAUGAAUACAUGGAUGGCCUAGAAAGUGAAUUCACUCCAAAGCAAAAUCCUCAUGAACUCCACCAUUUUUCUUUCUGUUCAAAGAAAGAAUGCCUGAUGCUAAGCAAAUUAAAAAAGCAGUAAGCUGAAAGGAAAAUGUGUUGGGAAAAAACUCAUCUACCAUUCAUGAAAUCCUUGAUGUCUGUAAUAGGCAUCACAGCUGUAGCUCAAAAUACAUAAAUCCUUACUCCAAAGUUACAAUAAACUUGGGGUGGCCUCAGCAAACCUAAGCAAAAUGUGAUUCUAUAGGACUUAUAAGUAGCUAGUGGAAACAUUAACUACAAUCCCCAAAGAUACUCUCUCUCUCACCCAGGAGACACCUGUUUAUUAGAAGAAUUGCUAAACCAACUAAUUAAUUUUUAGCCAAUUACCGCUCAGCUAUGUGCUCUGUAUCUUGCCCGAAUAGAUUUCUGGUAGUUAUUGCUCCUCAUUUAUACUUGUCUUCUGUGUUCUUAGAAUAAAACAUGAAGUAUCUGAGUUGGGAGAAUCCAAAAAAGCUUCAUGGUUAAAGAAACUAGAGCUGGAGUUCCUGUCAUGGCUCAGUGGAAAUGAACCCAACUAGGAACCAUGAGGUUGCAGGUUUGAUCUCUGACCUCAGUCAGUGGGUUAAGGAUCUGGCCUUGCCAUGAGCUGUGGUGUAGGUUGCAGAUGUGGCUCAAAUCUGAUGUUGCUGUGACUGUGGCGUAGGCCAGCAGCUAUAGCUCCGAUUGGACCUUUAGCCUGGGAACCUCUAUAUGCCACGGGUGUGGCCCUAAUAAGCAAAAAAAAAAAAAAAAAAAAAAAAAAGAAGAAGAAGAAGAAAAGAAAGAAGAAACUACAGAGCAAUGCCAAUAUCCAGGAGUUGUCAAUGAUCUCUUUUGAAAUUCCACUCUAGCCUAGAUCCUGGGAAAACCCAGGACUGAGAUACAGAAUGUGGUUGCCACAAUCAGUAAGGCUGCCAGUGGAGUUCUGUAUCAGCUUAUUUUGUAGAAAUAAUGUUCUUGAUCCAUGGAAUGUAGCUGUAGAUGUUGGUGAAGACAACAGUGUGAUCUGUCAGAAUACAUCCGGUUCCCCAAGAUACAAUUCCUUGUAAUUCACCAUCACAUGUGGUUGGUGCAGCUGUGACCACCUGCCAGACAGGGUAGAGGAGGGUCAGAACUUCCCUCCCACCUGGUCAUUUUUCAACCCUUGAACAUAAACAAUAGCCAUGUAAAAGGGCUCAGGAUGUACGAGUGUGAACCCCUACUUCCCAGUCAUCCCUAGACAGAAACUUCAAAACCGUAGCUGGGAGAUAGUUUUACAUUCCUCAAAAAUCUCUUUCUCUCAUCUCUAACACAGGGUGGAGGACAGACAGUCAUCCAUCUCCAGCCCCUUACUCUCUGAGCUCUUAGUCUGACUGCAAAAUACAGACCCUUGUGAAGGAUGAGAGGGAACAGAGACACAAAGAGAAAGAGCAGAGAUUAAGCUUAUGGGCAAAUGAGAUAAGAAAGGUUACCUGGCAUUCAUCUCUGUAUCCUUUAGUAUGUCCUAUGCAGAACAUGUCUUCAAGAAACCUUUUCCCCAGUAAUAUUUUGCAUCUUGAGUCAGUGUUGGUUUGAAUCUUAAUGCUGUACAGGUUACCGACUGGAUUUCCUGAGCACAGGAAAUAAAGGAUAUUUUUAUUCCUAUAUGUAUUUUCAUAAGGCCUCUUGUCUCCCUCUCCUUCAGGGCUUCUUUUCAGUUAGAAUGGACUGCAGAGGAAGAAUUGAUGGAAUAUACCAAGGAUUAAACACAUCCUCAUGCUCACGUAUCAUCUUUGAAAGAUGACCGGAAUCAAGGACUGGUACCAACCAAGACCUUCCACACAUCAAACAAGAUCUGAAUCCAAGCUCUGCCAUCACCAAGGUUUAUUACCUUGGACAAUUAGGUAAUCUGAGUCUUAGUUUCUUCCUUUAUAAGGUACAAAUCCUAAGAAAACUUACUUAUGUGAUGUAUGAUGAUGACUGAAUAAUAUUUAUAGGAUACUUAGUGCCUGGGACACAAUUAGUGCUCAACAAAUGGUAGCUGUUAUCAUUAUUGUUGCAAUUGAUAACCAAAUCACUGUUAGGUGACAGGUAGGUAAGUAAAGGAAAAAUAUGAUUUUUACCAAUUUACCAACUAAGAUUCAAAGAAGUUAAAAUUUAUCAAUAACCCUAUAAUCAAUGGCAGAACCAAACCUCAAACGUAAAUCCAUGAAUCCCAGCCCUCUGCAGCAGGUGCCACUGUGAUACAUACAUGUAACACUUUGACUUAGGAUUUGAUCCUGGAAGCCCCACUAACUCUACAGAGCUGAUAUAUUGUUGCUCUAUUUCUAGCUUGACACAUGUGCUUAAAAAUAAGUUCCAAUACCUUCCCCUAAUUCCUCAAAGGUUCUGGAACACACUUCUUUUUGAUACUUACCAGAAGAUUCUUCAUCUUUUAACCAGAUGUAAAUGAAGCAAACUAUGCUUUCAUCUUUCUUGAUAUUGACAGUAGGCAACUGAAAAAUGCUGUUGGAGAAGAAGGUGAGAGGUGCAGACAACUUAAUCAGCAUAAGAUCAUUUUUAGGAGAAGUGACAGUGAAAUUUGGGUGAACAAUGAUCUUCUCAUACGGCAAAAUCUCCCCAAUUAAGUUAUGAAAAUCGAAAUUUCUGGCUCCACCAGUGAAGAUGACCUGAAGAUCUCUAGAAAAUGAAAGAGAGAAAAAAGAUUGAUACUAUCAGAUCACAAGGUUAAUCGUGUGUGCGUGCGCGCACACACACAAACACACACUUUCCUUCUAUAACAACCUAUUUAACCUCCUCCUAUAACCUAUUUAAUCUCUCUCCAUUUGAUCUUUAUUCGUAGCUAUCACAUAUGAUCAAGUAUGCUGUGCACUAUACCAGUCAAUGGGCUGUCAUUCACCUAGACUAUAAUGUGAACGGUGCCUCCAGCAGUUAAGCAAUGCAAUAGCUUGGUCUCCAAUCUUUGUGUAUUUCCAGGGACAAGCUCCAAUUCAAGACUGAGACACAAUUGAAAGAAGUGUACGAGCAGACAGUCAAGGCUUCUCUGAAACUAGUAGGUUCUGUUAGGAAGUCUCCUUUGGGAGUAAGGCAGGAAAUGUGAGAUAGCACAAAUGAAAUAAAUAAUGGCCUACAGUGCUGAAAUAUUUUACAGCUAGAGGACUCAUCCAAAUAUACUAUGCUCUGCUCGUCUUGAUCAAAACUUUCCUGGAUUAACAGGGUUUUCUGAUGAUCCUUUAGGAGAACAACAGUGAAAAAUCCUGGAGGUUCUACUGAAAUCUAGUUGAGAUCCACUCACUAACAGGGCUGAAAACCCUAAAUUCCUAACAGGAACCUCUCCUGAGGACCCUGACUCUCCCACUCAGGGAUCUCUCCAACCACAACAGUGAAAUAAGUACUACCUUGGUAAUAAGCACCAUUUGUUGUUGUUGUACUCCCAAAUGCUAAAUUUAUUUUGUCUCCUAACAGCAGGACUAUCUGCCUCUCAGUCUGUUCCUAUCACUUUGUUGGGAGCUCAUAAGAUAAAGUCUAAAGGACUAGAACAACAACAAAAAAGAAAAAGACAAAGGACUAGAAUAGGAAUAGGCCUGCUAAGUCCAUUUUUGAGCCAACCCCAAGGACUGACAAGUUCAGAAGAUCUCAUCAGAGCAGCAUCUUUUAGACAAACUUUGCUUUGUGUCACUUUUACAAAACAUUAAAUAUUGUAAAGACUUUCCUUAGUCUUUUUUUUUUUUAAUCUUCCUAAGAAUGGCCAUACUUAGUUUCAUCUACUUGGAGCAAAGAUUUUUCUGUGUUUAUAGGUGGCAAUGACUUGUCUUUGGCCAAAUAGUCCUUACUGGCUGUUGGAGUUCUAUUGAUCAUCUAAGUCAGUUUGGUGCUCUGUACUAAAUAUGUGCUCCCUUCCUGUUAAAAUUCAUAUGCUGUCUCUCUAAUUGGCAUGAUUCGCCAAGGACAAUGUGAAAGUACAAUGGCCACUUUGAAGAACUUUUGAUAAAUGCAAGAAUGUUAAUUUAGAUAUACAUGGAGGUAUAUCAGAGGUAUCGUGGCUCAGAGGUAAUGAACCUGACUAGUAUCCAUGAGGAUGCAGGUUCGAUCCCUGGCCUCACUCAGUGGGUUAAGGACUGAGCAUUGCCAUGAGCUGUGGUAUAGGUCACAGACGUGGCCCAGAUCCUGUGUUGCUAUGGCUGUGGCAUAGGCCGGCAGCUGUAGCUCCAAUUCCACCCCUAGCCUGGAAACUUCCAUAUGCCAUGGAUGUGGCCCUAAAAAGAUACACACACAAAAAAAGACAUACACUAGAAAAAAAGAGAAGGAACCUUGAUGAUAAGAUUAUUUCUCCCGUCUGUCUAAAUGAGAGACCAUUUAAUGACCUCCCCUCCUCCAUUUCCAUAGCUUGAGAAUUAGUAAGUCCUUAUGUUUUAUACAUACAACUUGAUGAAGUUGUUAGGUCCACUACGUAUUCUUUAAAUCAGCUGUAGUAACUCUCUUGUGUGUCUCUGUCUAUCAUAUUAGCUUUUUUCUAAGAUCACUCUCCUUUCACUCCGGCAGAAGGAAAGUCAUUUGUGUUUACAGUGUUAAUUUAAUAUCUAAAAUUGGUCCCAUCUUAUAUUUUCUUUUUUCCUUCCUCUAUGUCUCUUUUACCCUUCUCCUCUGAAAUGGUGGAGCUUACCAUAAAAAUAUUUAUAAGUAAAUACAGAAAUUUACUUAUGUGGAAAAGAAUUCAUGAUAAAUAGAUGAUUCUUGGGCAAAUUAUGGUGAAUGAAUUUCAGAUUAAAACAACUCUGUGGCAUGUAAAACUAAACUAUGGUGGAAAAAUAACAGAAAGUUGCUCAUGAGGAAUAUGGGUGAAAAGUAACUGAGAAAGGGCAUAAGGAGAACAUCAGGCUAUUGCUUAACUUUAGAAUUUACUAUAUUAAAUAUCCAUAUU
rnacentral:lncRNA from 1 species